AGGAAGCUGCAAUAACAUAAGUCUGGUCACUAGGGGGCAGAAGAGCUCCAAAACAACCAGGUGAGCAGCCUCUUGUAUUUUGCCAUGAAGUAGAAUAAGUUUGUGCCAUUUUUAGGUUAAAUCAAGGAAGUGUCUCUGCUAACACUUCCCUCCUGCAGCCAGCAGAGACGAAGCAACAUUACCAUCCCAUUGGAGUCGCCUUUUUGGCCACCUGACGAAUAAGAAUGUUCCUCCAGAGCUUUUCUGCUCUUGCGGCCUGGCGUGGGACAGAUGACAAUACCCGAGGUGGGAUCGAUGCACAAUUUGCGCCCUCGAGUGCAGUACAUGUGAGGAAUGUGAAACGUCCCCUUCAUCUCACCCCUGGGUCUGACCCUUUAGUGUGGCCAUAUGCAAGUGGAGGAAAGGUUUGACUCACUGGGAUGAGAUGAGUGAAUCAUUUUUAUUAUCCAAAUACAUCUAAAUUGCACUGAGUUGGCUGAAUUAAAAAGUCUUGUUAUAAGCUGUUAGCUGUGUACAUGGGCUAUGCAGCAAAGCAGUGAGGUAAACAAGACCAAGCAGA